rnacentral:rRNA from 1 species
UACGUAGGUGGCAAGCGUUGUCCGGAAUUAUUGGGCGUAAAGCGCGCGCAGGUGGUUUCUUAAGUCUGAUGUGAAAGCCCACGGCUCAACCGUGGAGGGUCAUUGGAAACUGGGGAACUUGAGUGCAGGAGAGAAGAGUGGAAUUCCACGUGUAGCGGUGAAUGCGUAGAGAUGUGGAGGAACACCAGUGGCGAAGGCGACUCUUUGGCCUGUAACUGACACUGAGGCGCGAAGCGUGGGGAGCAAACAGG